UUAAGAACACAAUGCUGUUUUGAAAGGUAUCCAGGAACAUUCUUCUCCCCUGCUCCACAUUUGAUGGUGAAUUCAGCAGCAUAGAAGUGAAAGACAGUAGCUACCAGCAUAAAGUAAAGAAGAUACCUUAUCCCCAUCAGUAACUUCACCUGUGAUAUCAAUAUAAAGGUGGACUGUUUCCAGCAGUUACAGGAAAAUCUACAGCAGCAGAUAAGGUAGGUGUGGCAAAGGGGAAAAGCUACAGCAGCAGAUAAGUGAACGCCUCUUUCCUGAGUCUCAAGUUGCCCUUACAUCUUUAUUCAUCGCAGAAAGGGUGGAUAAAAUUCUUCAGGGGGAAGGCGAACAUCCAGAAGUGGUAGUCCAGGUGGACUGUUUCCAGCAGUUACAGGAAAAUCUACAGCAGCAGAUAAGGUAGGUGUGGCAAAGGGGAAAAGCUACAGCAGCAGAUAAGGUGGACUGUUUCCAGCAGUUACAGGAAAAUCUACAGCAGCAGAUAAGUGAACGCCUCUUUCCUGAGUCUCAAGUUGCCCUUACAUCUUUAUUCAUCGCAGAAAGGGUGGAUAAAAUUCUUCAGGGGGAAGGCGAACAUCCAGAAGUGGUAGUCCAGGUGGACUGUUUCCAGCAGUUACAGGAAAAUCUACUGCAGCAGAUAAGGUAGGUGUGGCAAAGGGGAAAAGCUACAGCAGCAGAUAAGUGAACGCCUCUUUCCUGAGUCUCAAGUUGCCCUUACAUCUUUAUUCAUCGCAGAAAGGGUGGAUAAAAUUCUUCA